rnacentral:rRNA from 1 species
UGCGCAGGCGGAUACGUCAGUGUCUUGUGAAAUCCCACGGCUCAACCGUGGAAUAGCAGGGCAUACUGCGUAUCUUGAGGCGGGUAGGGGCUGCCGGAACUCUAGGUGUAGCGGUGAAAUGCGUAGAUAUCUAGAGGAACGCCGAAGGUGAAGACAGGCAGCUGGGCCCGUUCUGACGCUCAGGCACGAAAGCGUGGGGAGCGAACAGGAUUAGAUACCCUGGUAGUCC